rnacentral:lncRNA from 1 species
AUGGCAAAGGCACUUACCGCUGCUGUGGCACCGUCUCUCUCGCGCCCUGACUCUCAGUCUCUCUCUCCCAUCCUCCUGACAGCCUCAAAUAUAGCAGUCCCUUAUGCUGUUCAGCCUGUGGGGAGCAGAGGAUUGCGGAGUUGUUUUUUUUUUUUUCUUUCUUUCCCCUGCAAUUUUUUUUUUUUUUUAAACCAUCCAGAGGUAGUUCUCCAGAUCCGACCGCCUCUCCUCGCCUCGCUCACUGAUGGAGAGACCCAGGUGAAGGCAUCCGCGGCGGCAGCUCCCGCGAGCCCCUCCCGGCCCCGCCGUGCCCCCUCCCCGGCGGGGGGGAACAAGGCACCUCCCCCUUCCGAUCCCGGGAGGGUGGCGGGGACUCUGCCCGCCCCCGGCCGGACGUGUGUUGAUAUACCAACUAUAAUUUUACAAGGAUUAAUUCUCUUGACACCUGAGGGGCAGAUAUAGUAAAUAAGUCAACAGAGGGAAAUGCCAUGACAGGAGAGAGAAAAGGUUUCUCCAGAGGUGUUGCACUUAAGGUGAGACUAUUUAAAAUUUAGCGAACCUGACUGACAAACUCUGCAAUCAGACCUCAAGUCCAAAACACUCCUUGAAAUUUAGCUGCUUGUUUUCAAUAACGUAAAUAUUAUGGUAUUAUGGAAAUGAAAUUGAAUUAUCUUAAUUGUCAUCUUGUAGCCAGAACGAUGUAGGAGAUAUGUGUUGCAUAAAUCCUUCUAUGGAUAAUCUAGAGUAACAAUCAAUGCUGGAAAAAUUAGCUGUAUGUUAUUAAGGAAGCUAAACAUGGCAAUAUAUCACAUGAAUGGUUAACUUGUACUGACAGAACAAGUUGGCUGAUUAGAGUCAAUGUUAUGCAGGUAAUGUGCUAACGUGAAGAGGAAAGUAGAAUUAAUAUUGAAGUUACUGAGAUGUUAUCGAUUAUAAAUACACCUUUAUAUGCUUGUUUGUUGUACUCCUAAGAAGGACAAUGAAAGAUGAUGAUAAAUAAAUUUAAAAAGGGAUACUUAGCUGGUCAGCCUGCAUUUACGACAGCUAAGUAUUAUGCAGGUUGACAGUGGUUGGAGAGAGGUGUGACAGUAUUAGGGUUUUCAGAAAAUGUUGUUAUGUGUGUAUGCUAUAAAAGAGUUUUAAGGUGGCAUCCAGGUGUCAUUGAUAAA